rnacentral:rRNA from 1 species
UGCGCAGGCGGCCGGGUGUGUGAGGCGUGAAAGCCUGGAGCUCAACUCCAGAAUUGCACCUCAAACUACACGGCUAGAGCAUUGGAGAGGGUAGCAGAAUUCACGGUGUAGCAGUGAAAUGCGUAGAUAUCGUGAGGAAUACCAGAGGCGAAGGCGGCUACCUGGACAAUUGCUGACGCUCAGGCACGAAAGCGUGGGGAGCAAAAGGGAUUAGAUACCCCUGUAGUCCACGCCCUAAACGGUGCACACUAGGUCUUGGCGGAUUCGACCCCACCAGGGCCCAAGCUAACGCGUUAAGUUUGCCGCCUGAGGACUACGGCCGCAAGGCUAAA